ensembl:lncRNA
UCCCCAUUAUCCUCACAGUCCCCAUUGGCCCCAUUGUCUCCACUGUCCCCACUGUCCCCACUGUCCCCAUUGUCCCCACUGUCCCCAUUGGCCCCAUUGUCUCCACCGUCCCCACAGUCCCCAUUGUACCCACUGUCCCCAUUGUCCCCACUGUCCCCAUUAUCCCCAACGUCCCCAUUGUCUCCAUUGUCCCCACUGCCUCCACUGCCCCCACUAUCUCCACUGUCCCCUUUAUCCCCAACGUCCCCAUUGGCCCCAUUGUCCCCACAGUCCCCACUGUCCCCACUGUCCCCAUUAUCCC